rnacentral:rRNA from 1 species
UACGAAGGGUGCAAACGUUGCUCGGAAUCAUUGGGCGUAAAGCGCACGUAGGCGGCCUCAUAAGUCGGAUGUGAAAUCCCUCGGCUCAACCGAGGACGUGCAUCCGAAACUGUGAAGCUCGAGUAUGGAAGAGGGUCGCGGAAUUCCCGGUGUAGAGGUGAAAUUCGUAGAUAUCGGGAAGAACACCCGUGGCGAAGGCGGCUCUCUGGGACGGUACUGACGCUGAGACGCGAAAGCGUGGGGAGCGAACAGG